rnacentral:tRNA from 1 species
GGGUGGUUAGCUCAGUGGUAGAGCGCCUGCUUUACACGCAGGAUGUCGGCGGUUCAAUCCCGUCACCACCCACCA